UGGGGAAUAUUGGACAAUGGGCGCAAGCCUGAUCCAGCCAUGCCGCGUGAGUGAUGAAGGCCCUAGGGUUGUAAAGCUCUUUCAGUGGGGACGAUAAUGACGGUACCCACAGAAGAAGCCCCGGCUAACUUCGUGCCAGCAGCCGCGGUAAUACGAAGGGGGCUAGCGUUGUUCGGAAUUACUGGGCGUAAAGCGCACGUAGGCGGACAUUUAAGUCAGGGGUGAAAAUCCCGGGGCUCAACCCCGGAACGGCCUUUGAUACUGGGUGUCUUGAGUUCGGAAGAGGUGAGUGGAAUUGCGAGUGUAGAGGUGAAAUUCGUAGAUAUUCGCAGGAACACCAGUGGCGAAGGCGGCUCACUGGUCCGAAACUGACGCUGAGUGCGAAAGCGUGGGGAGCAAACAGGAUUAGAUACCCUGGUAGUCCACGCCGUAAACGGUGGAAGCUAGCCGUCGGGGGGUUUUACCUUUCGGUGGCGCAGUCAACGCAUUAAGCUUCCCCGCCUGGGGGAGUACGGUCGCAAGAUUAAAAACUUAAAGGAAUUGACGGGGUCAUAGCUGUUU
rnacentral:rRNA from 1 species